GGCCGGUGUUGACUUGCUGUGCUCAGGAAUAGAGAAGUAUACAAAAGGCUGCAGAUUUCCUGGCUAUGUGGGAAAGCCAUAAUCAGUGCUCCUGAGGCAGGGCAGCAUCUGCUGAGGGCACACAAAAUGCAGGCAUCCUGGUGCAGGGAGGGACCUCAGCUUGUUCCCUUUGAGAUGCUAACCUUGUUCCCCAUCUUGCUCCCCCCAUCUACUGCAGCUGCUCUUCCUAGAAAAGUACACUACCCCUUCCCCUGCACUUCUUGCUGAAUAACAAAAGCAGGUCCACCGUGGAGUUUGUAGAGUCUGUCCACUAGAGUCAGGCUUAUCCUGGUCCCCCUUGUACCUUGAAUAUUGUCUCUGUCUCUUUCUUUUAUUCCCUGUCAUCCUUCCUACAGGUAUUCGAGGGUCUGAUCAGCCCCGGACAAUGUGACAUUACACAGCUCUAAUAAGGGAUAAAUCUGCUGUUGGUCUCAACAACAUGGGUGAAUCUCAGCCGCACUGUGCUGAGGGACAGCUGCUGACUGAGAGCUCGUAUAUCGCCUGAGUGCAUUCAUACAGCAUUCUGGAAAAGGCCAGGCUGGUGGGAUGGGAGGCAAUAGUGGCUACGAGGAGCUGAGUGCUGUGGGGAUGCAGAGGAUGGAGGGAACCUCCUGAAAGGAUUCCGCAGACUGUGAUGUAAGUUCCGAGACAUGCAUCUCCGGAGCUCACUGAACUCUACUCUUUUCCUGGAUGUAAAUUAUUCCUCAAUCAAUCCGCUUUCUGAAUACAACACUCUCUAACCCUCCUCAGGACCCUGUCCAGAUCCCAGCAUCUCCUUAUGUUGCCCAGCAGCAAGGGCUCAACUGGGAAAAUCUGAGAGCCCACGAGUCCUGGACAGGACCUGAGCCCCCGAGGGGCUGUGGACCAUCGGAGAAGAGACUGUCCUAAGACCCUCCGGGCACCAGCUCGUCCUGCCCCCUCUUCCCCAACUCGAAUGCUCCAGGGCUCAGCCAGGGCCAGGCACCCUCAAGAAUCCUGGAUUUGCAGCAUGGUCGGUCUGGAGAAGAACCCACCCUCAGCUGGUCCCAGGCUGUCAUAGAGCACAGCCUCGAGCUUCUGCCACCCACCGCCAUGUCGAAGACAUCCCUGCUUGGACAGGCCCACAGCAGCCCGCUGGACUUGGACAGCCGGCCCAGGACCCCUGUGGCAAGUGGUUUCUUGCUGGUGAAGCCAGCUCAUUGUCCUGAGUAGAUCCUCUCUUUCAGUGCCACCUGCUCUUCAGGACCCAAGAAGGUUGAUCUUGUGGCUCUGCAGGGUACCCUCAUGUCCCCUAGAACCCAGAUAGAACAGCCACCCCUAACAUGGGCUGCUGGAUUCCAGGAGCAAUUUCCCAUCUUAGGCUGAAGGCUCUUUUUUCUUUCUUCCAUUUUAGACUCUCUGUCUUUCUCUCUCUCUCUCUCUCUCUCUCUCUCUCUCCCCCUUUCCCCCUCCUCCAGGAAACAUAAGGACAUAAAGUCACCUUGUAAUUCCAUGUCCUACUUUUUCUGUCCCCCAAAUGGAACUUUUUCUCUAGGACUUUACUGCCAGCAAGACUGUUAUAUAGUGAUCAGAUUGGGUAGUACCCAUGAGCUGUGAUGACACUGUGACAAUACUCAGUGUUGAUAAGCAUACUGGGAAAUGCCUGCUUUUGUGGAAGAAUCAAAUUAGUACCUCUCUGAAUGACAGUGUUUUAUGUCAAAUCCUAAAAUAUCAUUUGUAUAAAGCAUACAGCUACUUAUUUGGCAUGUCCUAUCUUGGAAAGUGCACACACGUUACACAUACAUGUACAUAGGUAACCAAAAGCAGCAGCUACCUGUGGGGAAGGAAAUUGGGAGGCUGAGAGACAGAAGAGAGAGAUUUCUAUUCAUUACACAUUAUUAUUCAUUAUUGUGCUUUGCUUUUAACUUUUGAAUUUCUUAUUGUUAUUCCCUAAUUUUGUUCUUCAGUAUAAUUAAAUAAAAAUAAAUGUAUCUUUUUAUCAAUUAUGCCAUUUCUAGGAAUUUUUCUAAGGUUUCAGUGCCUUGGCCUGAGAGGAAAGCAGAUCUCUAGGGGCUCCUCGAGGUCCGCUUCACCUCCCCAAAUGACG
ensembl:lncRNA